UCCAGGAGGGAGGAUGUCAAGGCUUUGAAAUAAGGCCUGCUUGGGCGCCAGGACCCUGGGAAACAAAGCCUCCCCUCACUGCUGAAACAGUGUUAAUUUGGGGGGGGUCUGGAUUAUAUCCUCCUCGUCAGGACCUUGGAAGAUAACACCUACUGUCACUGCUGGGGCAGUGCUAAUUGCUGGAACAACACCUGUUUGUCAGGGCCCUGAGAAAGAAGGGCAGAACCCGAGGAAUCAAAACACAUUUGUCAGCAGAAACCGCAACAGUAAAGAUAAGGGAGAAAAGCAGCCUGCCUGGGAACAACGAUGAGACCCAAUAGGGAGCAGGAGACCCCAGACCCAAAAAUUACUAUUGGUCUGAACUACCGUGUGAGGGGCGGGAAACUUAAUUUGAAAAAGCUAUAAUUGCCCAGGGAUUUCUUUGUUUGGGGUCCCUCUUCGGAGGCACCCAACUCGAGCUGUAACUACUGCACGCAUGUCAUUACAAUUUAUUUAUUUAAUUUGCCUUGAUUUGGCUCCGAACUUUUCAGCGGGAACCUAGGGUCGGACCCUGCUCGAGUUGUAAUUACUGCACGCGCAUCGCUAAAAUUUACACCCAGGGUGAAGAGGACCAACGGGACGCCGCUGGAUCCACGGGUGGAAGUUUCUCAUUCCAGCUGACUACCCCAUCCUGCUCGUACAAUGACUGGUGAAGGAACCUGACAGCCUUUGACUCAUUAUUGGAAAGAAAUCUCAACAGAGACUUGAUUUUCCUCCCACAUGAAGUUAAUUUGGCUGGCAGUAGAUUUAAUCCUGAUUUAUGCAUCUUGAAAUUGCAAAGAAUGGAUAAAGCUGCGGGAUUAAUGAAGAAAGAAAUUAAUGGAAAAGGAAUAUAAAACAAAAAAGGGAACAGAGAAGUCCAGGAGCUAUUAUUCAUUACUUGACUCUUAUUAAGGGGUUGCGGUUGUAUGGUAAUAUUCGUUUAUUUAAAGUAGCCAUGGUGCAGAAGGAAACUCCACUAUUGGAAUAUUGUAGCUAUUCACCAGCAUGUUACCUGAGAAGCAAUAUGUUAAUUUGAAAGCAUUUACUUUCUUUAAAAAAGGAAUAGUGGAAAGUAUACUAUGGAAAAUAAUGUUUAUUGUAAAUACUCUGUCAAGCUUUCUGUUCCUGAGAUUUUCUUCAUACAUGAAGGUUAAUUCAAUCCACUGUUAAAUCAGUUAUGCAGGCUGCUGUAUGUGUAUAUUGAGACACUGGCACUGAGAUGUUCCAGGAUUGAUUAUCAGGGAAACAGCUGAAAGGAGUUAGACAAUACUAGCACAUUUUGCAAAUGGAAACAAACUGCUUACAUUAUUUAGUUACUGCUUGAAAGUAUUUCAUAUUUUGAUGCCUACAUUUCAGCCAUCUUAAAAACAGAAGAAAUAAGUUCCUUUUACACUCUACUUGCUGCACUUACACUGGAAGCAUUCAUUAAAAAGUCCUGUUGAAUAAUUUGCUAGUAAAUUUCCAACACUCACUUAUCUUAAGUUUUAAAAGUAAAUUUUUAUUUUUCAUUAUCUAUUAUAUUUCCGCCAUUAUCUAAAAGUCAACAAAAGUAAUUUUACCAACAGAGCAUGUUGUGUUUCCCAACAAUAAUAUACCAGGGUUCAUAAGGGGUCCAUUCUAAAGAACAUUUUAACAUACGUACAUCCAUAUGCUUUGUUUCUAGAUCCAUCUGUUUUGAUUUGCUAUAUAUGCUUCAAAAUAAUAUUUACUUUACAAAACAGAUACAUUAUAAGUAAAAUAGAGCCCAUAAUAUUUGAUUUGGAUGACACAGAGGGAUUUUCAAACCUAUUUUAUUAUUUUAAUAAAUUGUUGUAAACUUGGAAAGGAAAUUGCAAAAUCUUUUCUGGAGAUGGAAAUUAUAUAAAAAAUUUAAUAACUAAUUGUAAAACUAAGGUGUAAAAGCAAAAACUUUAAUAAUGUUGCAGUGAAUAUUUAACUUUGAUAUUACUGAAGGCAUUCAGUACAGUCUUUAAGACACUGGAUGCCAUAAUGCUAAGUAGAUAGAUACUUAAACCAUUUUCAGCUAACCAGAUUUAAGCCUCCUUGCAGAAUUGCAUUGCUUUGCAGCUCAUCUGGCCAUCCAGGGUACAUUUUCCUAAGCCGCCUCUGAAAGGGUCCACCUUAGAUCACUCUAGAUUCAGGAAAGCCUUGAGCUUGAAAAAAUAUGGAAUAUUUGAUCUUCAGAAUCUAUUUGCCUUAAAAAGCACUAUACAGUAAGUGUCUAUAGUAGUCUAAGUAGUGUCUAUAGCAGUGUCUAAUGAAGAACGUUAAUCUAACGAAGAUUAAUAAUCAAAAUUAUCAUCCUAAACACCACUGCCCUAAGAAAUUGGAAAAUUCCAGUACACCUAGUUAAUAGUCACUGUACAGUGUUGCCACUCCCAUGGAUUCCUAUGAAAUAGCAAGUGCUCAGCCUCCUUAAAAAUUAGGUGCAAAUUAGGUCAUAUCUUCCUUAUCUCUGCUAAAGCCACAUUGUGCCAUCCUUCCCGAUGCUUCCUGAUGCUCAUUCACUGACCUCCCUGGAACUGUACAGAAGAUUAACUGGCCUAUGGUGUUUAGUGAGUCUCAAUAUUAAGUAGGGAAUAUUUAGCUUAAAUGUAGGUUUCCAGGAAGGAAUUGUUUUGUAUGAGAGGAGAAUAACUAAAACUUCCUCCAGAAGACUACUAAGGUCUUCUGGAUCAAGAUUAUUGCACAAAUAAUCUAGAACUCAGUGUUGUCAGUUCAGACUACAUCUUUACAUCUUUUAGCUAAUGAGUUCUCAUCUCUGUGUUUUAAAUUGUAUAUAAAAUAGAUAUGUUGAUAUGUGCAAUAUACAUACAAACACUUAGUACACUUGCGGUUCGAUUUGCUGUAAGAUUGUUUGAGAUACAAAAUACUGGUGGCUUACUUUUCCUUUAAAAAUCUAAAUACCCUGAAAUAUUGCUGAAAUACAAAAACAUAAACAGAAAUAAAUACUGAGCCUUCAGAUCUCCCAGCAAAUCCAUAUUCCAGGUGGUUAUUGACAUUUCCUGACUCUUUAAUACAAGGUGAGGAAUUAAUCCUUAAACACUUCAGUACAUUCCUUAACAGACAUAACUGUUGCAUAAUUAAAUCAGAAUUCUCUUGACACUGGCUCUCCAAAAAGAUGUUUGCUGUAUGUUGAUCUUCCUGUUUACCACUCUUUAUUCAGUGAUAAAAUUCCCUCUGGGAAGAGUGCCUGCCUUUGAAGUUAUACCAGCAACAGAAUAUUAAAAAGUGUGAGAGAAACCUGAUUUCCUACCAGUCUGAGAUGCAGUAUGUCAAGUCUGAGAGAACAAAAACCUUCAGUAAUGAGGCAGUAGUAAAAUCAACUAAUAUGUGGUGCAUUUUUUCUCACCCAAAUACCACAUGUGUUCCUAAAUAAAGAAGGUUUAAUGGUCAAUGAUAACUUCUCUGUGUUCUGUCCCCUCAGAAUAAGAGUUAGAUGGUCUAAACUGUAAUUGUAUUCCUGCUUAUACUUUCCUAUUUCAGCGAUAUUUCAGGAUAUUUACAUUUUUAAAGGAAAAGUAAGCAGCCAGUAUUUUGUAUCUCAAAUAACCUCAUAGCAAAUCAAACCACAACUGUACUAAACAUUUGAUAACUGCUUAUGACACGUGGUAUCUUUGCUGAUUCGGGUCUCAGUGUUUUACACACAAAAUGCUCAUGCAACAAGCACUAACCCAAUUUAUAGGAAGCCUAUUUCUAUUAUGAUUCCAUAAGAAAAAAUCCCUUAAGUCUAAAUAUAAAAUACACUUAAAAUGCACCUUAAAAGGACAAAAUAUUAUUUAAAAUUUUGACUGUGCGGAUUUUGAAAUACGAUUGUAAAUUUAAACAACAGUCUUUCUUACUUAAUAUAAGAAUAACAUCUUCUGUACUGUUAAGGUAACAAAUAUAGUAUGCCUGUUAGUGACAAAUAAGCAAUGUUAUCCAAUUUCUGUGAAAUAUGCUUACAAAUGUAGUGAGUUACUUUUCAAAACAUUUUCUAUUUCUGAAUAGAAUUUUUUCAUGUAUAAUCUAGAAGGAAUAUUCAAGUUGUCUUCAGUGACAAGGAUAACAAGGAAAAAGUUCCUCGGAACAAAUGUAGGUUUUAUUUAUUAUCCACAGAAGACAGAUUGUGUGGUAAUGGAUUAAAACGUAAUGUGAAUCACAAUAAAUAAACAUGUAGUAGCUUCCAUUUCACUACAUUUACAUAUCCUCAUAAAAAUAAUAUAAUAACUCAAGAGGCACAACAAACACUUUAGCUGUCCCUCUUUUCUUCAGUGUAAUCUUUCAUUGUGUUAUGAAUCAUUAGCUAGGAAGAGGGAGAAAAGGGGGAAAAAGAGAAGGCGGAGAUAAAAUAGAGAAAGUUUAUGACCUCUUCAGAAGAAAAAACAAAAAGAAUCAGGAAGCGAUAUGACAGUUUAUCUGUAGCUAUAUUUUUCCCACCAAGUGUUGAAAGAUAACCUUAUCAUCUUACUAUUAAGUAUGAAGAAUCCUAUUCAAAAUCCUAUCCAAUUCAAAAUACAACAGUUUUUCUAAGAACCAAAAUCUCUUUAGCCAUUUAUAUUAUUUUGAAAUAGGAUAAGAAGCCAUUAAUUAUUAAACUGUAUGAUACUACUUUGUGAUAUAGUUUUGAUAGCAAUAACAGCAAUUUAAUAUAUUCACUGUAUCUGAAAGGAUGAUGGACACUUUUUUAGCCAGUGAUUUUUAGAUAGCUCAUCUGUUCCACCUCAAAUGAUUCAUAACUUCAUCACCAAAUUGCACAUUUAUGAUUUUACUAGAACUCUACAGGCUGGGUCAGAAAAUUUCUGUUUCAUAACUUUAAGUUUUUAAAAAAAUGCAUAGAUGUGGAUUAAGUGUACAAACUAAUCUAUAGGAUUUACUGACACCAAUGCUAAAGACCUUUGGCCCUCACAUGUAGAGUUCUGCAUAGCAACUCUGGAACAACUGUUCUUGAACAACUUCAUAUAUGAACAAAAGAAUGCCUAGUCCUACCCAACUUUAUUUCCUUUGGGAGACCCCUCUUCUACAGCAAUAAUAUCCACGGGGAGUUUUUCAACAACAGUUAAUAAGUUAAUAAUUUACAGUUCUACAUAACGGGAAGUAACUAUCAAAUAUUCCGUUAGAGACUUAGGAAUUGCUGCAUAGUCAUUUUUGAGCAUUUAGGAUUAUCAGAAACAAAGAUUAUCUAGAUUUCUGUUAUAUUUGGAGGUUGCGUAAUCUAUGGUUUGCUGACAAUGUAGAAUAUCUAUGGCUUUUGUAGAAGUGUAAGAAUUAAAGAUUAUUUCAGUAGACACUGAAGAAAAGUUACUGUAAAUAGACUGCAAAAACAAAGUAGUAAUAUUUGUUUUCAUGAAAAAACAGACAAAGACCACAUUCAAAAUAACAGAUCCUUCAGAAUGCUGACUCAAAACAUACUUCACAGAAUUUCACUUACUAGAGGAAAUAUUAUCAUUUUACUGCAGAUGCAAAAUUAAAAGCAGAUGCAAAGUUUACCCAAAUAUUGAAGCCAAAGUAUGAAAAUUUUGAAUCCAGAUUUCAGGUUAUUAAACACAGGAAAAAAAAUGCUACUUUGUGCAAUUUAUUUUGUAAAUAUUAGCUUUAUACACAAUGCAGUGAUUUUCUUCUUCAUAAUUUUUUUUUGUUUUUUUUCCUCUUGACCAGAUCUAAAAGGACAUAUUAAUUAAACUAUAACAGGUGCACAUUAAUUUGUGAGGAUAAUAGCUAUCUGCUACCUCCAUAAAUAAGAACAACAUUUGACAAUUUUAAAAUUUGCUGCAUGUUUCUUUUUGUCUUAUUAAUUAUUAUUUUGUGUGGAGUCUUAUGAUUCUGUUAGGAUUACUGUUAAAAUGCAAUUAUAAUGUUUUGCAACAUACAUGUGGGAAUUUUAUCUUGAUACAUUAGAAACUGAACAUUGUUACUUUAUUAAGCAGAAUUAGAGUGAACUUAAGAAUUUUGAGUACCCAAAACCCAAAAGUGAGACAUUCGGUUCUGAAAUAUAACCUUUCCAGUUUUAAUUGAAUAUGACACAUCAAUAAAAAGUGCAUAAAAUUCCAAUUAUAGCACUUUCUUUACCAGAUUUCACUUUUUUAUCAUUUUUCAUCAGACUUUUUGGUAUCUUAAAAACUGAGCUGCCAUUUGUAGAUUCCUGAGGACUCCUGGCUGUCAUUCAAAUACUUACUUAAAUCUGUGGCCAUUUUAAGAUACGGUUUUAUUUUAACAUUAUUUGCAAUUCCUCUAUGGAGUAUUUCUCUGGACAUUGCCAACAUAUAUCUGGUUUUCAGAGCAAUGUCUACUCAGACAAGCUCCAGGGAGAUCUAUUUUCCAGAAAAGCUCAAUCAGAUAAAUUACUAUUAGUGCAAGAUCCUUGAGCUGGACACCUUCAAAUUCAGCUUUAAUCAAUGAUUUCAUAAUUGUAUCAUUUCCUUCACAUGCAGCUAUUAAGCAGCUGAGCUACUCGUAGUUCCCCAUUUUAUAUUGUCCAAAGGAAAACACUUUUAUA